rnacentral:lncRNA from 1 species
CAACACAUUACAGGCCUCUUGUGGUUGUUCUGGGCUCGUUUUUCAGCACAUAUUUCCGUGUGGAGGGUGGCAGCAUUGCUUUGGUUUGUUUUGUCAAAAGACUUGUCUCUGGUUUAGGCCAUUUACAUUAAAUGAUUUUCAAGAAACAGACAAGUAAUAUAGAUGCUAAGGAUUCUGUCCUUUGAUGCACAACCUAAUCGCUACACCACCUGCAGUCCAUUCAUGAUGCAAUUGUCAUUUCAUGAGCAGUUGAGCUCCUAUUACUCCUAUUACACUGAAGGAUGAGUUUGUAGUGUGUAACUGUCUGCCUGAUGUUAUAUAAACUGAGCCCACUGUCCUAUUGUAACUAUUGUUUUUUUUUUUUUUUCCACUGCUUUUGUGAUGUUGUGAUGUAUGUCUUUGUAGCUGAAGAGGGGAAGCUUGAAGAGGACAACUCCAAGACAGCCAUGAUGCCUCUGAAGAGCUAAAGAGACUUGGGUGUAAUGUCGUGGGAUUUCUGCCGUCCCAAGUGAUGCUGUAAUAUGUCAUCUCUCCCUCCAAUAAUGCCUCCGAUGCUGGGCUGGGCUGGGUUGAGCAUGGAGAUGAAGUUGCAUUUUCCUUGAGAUUCCUCUCUUCUCACCUCAGCAAGAACAACUUAAAAUUUCACUGGAUUGAUGUAUGUUUCCAAGACCUGUUUGACCCUUUGUGAAUAAGGAAUCCUGUCCACAAGAAACAAGACAUGGCAAUCUUAUGUUGUUCUGGUUCUUGCAGUACUUUCUACUUAUCCUUUACUCACAGGUGGGUAAAACGGUAUAUUUUGUCAAUAUUUUUAUAAGGGAAUUUUAGAUUAACAAAAUCAAAUGGAGAUUUGGGGCAGCACAAUGUAGAUACUACUACUUUGAAGAAUUCAACAUAUUUCAAGAUUUGCUACAAAGUAAAGAAUCAGUGAGAUGCCUGUUAAUAUCUGUGUCCAAGAUGGGAUCUUCACCCCAAUUUACCAAAGAGUUGCCAAUUAUUAGCUGCCAGAGAAACAACUUGCAACCCGACAAUCUCCAUCUGCUCUGCUGUAACUUUUUAACCUAGGAAGUUCAAACCUGAAUGUCAAUUAAG